rnacentral:rRNA from 1 species
AGAGUUUGAUCCUGGCUCAGGAUGAACGCUAGCUACAGGCUUAACACAUGCAAGUCGAGGGGAAACGAUAUUGGAAGCUUGCUUCCGAUAGGCGUCGACCGGCGCACGGGUGAGUAACGCGUAUCCAACCUGCCCACCACUUGGGGAUAACCUUGCGAAAGUAGGACUAAUACCCAAUGACGUCUCUAGAAGACAUCUGAAGGAGAUUAAAGAUUUAUCGGUGAUGGAUGGGGAUGCGUCUGAUUAGCUUGUUGGCGGGGUAACGGCCCACCAAGGCAACGAUCAGUAGGGGUUCUGAGAGGAAGGUCCCCCACAUUGGAACUGAGACACGGUCCAAACUCCUACGGGAGGCAGCAGUGAGGAAUAUUGGUCAAUGGGCGAGAGCCUGAACCAGCCAAGUAGCGUGCAGGAAGACGGCCCUAUGGGUUGUAAACUGCUUUUAUAAGGGAAUAAAGUGAGUCUCGUGAGACUUUUUGCAUGUACCUUAUGAAUAAGGACCGGCUAAUUCCGUGCCAGCAGCCGCGGUAAUACGGAAGGUCCGGGCGUUAUCCGGAUUUAUUGGGUUUAAAGGGAGCGUAGGCCGGAGAUUAAGCGUGUUGUGAAAUGUAGACGCUCAACGUCUGCACUGCAGCGCGAACUGGUUUCCUUGAGUACGCACAAAGUGGGCGGAAUUCGUGGUGUAGCGGUGAAAUGCUUAGAUAUCACGAAGAACUCCGAUUGCGAAGGCAGCUCACUGGAGCGCAACUGACGCUGAAGCUCGAAAGUGCGGGUAUCGAACAGGAUUAGAUACCCUGGUAGUCCGCACGGUAAACGAUGGAUGCCCGCUGUUGGUCUGAACAGGUCAGCGGCCAAGCGAAAGCAUUAAGCAUCCCACCUGGGGAGUACGCCGGCAACGGUGAAACUCAAAGGAAUUGACGGGGGCCCGCACAAGCGGAGGAACAUGUGGUUUAAUUCGAUGAUACGCGAGGAACCUUACCCGGGCUUGAAUUGCAGAGGAAGGAUUUGGAGACAAUGACGCCCUUCGGGGUCUCUGUGAAGGUGCUGCAUGGUUGUCGUCAGCUCGUGCCGUGAGGUGUCGGCUUAAGUGCCAUAACGAGCGCAACCCCUCUCCUUAGUUGCCAUCAGGUUAAGCUGGGCACUCUGGGGACACUGCCACCGUAAGGUGUGAGGAAGGUGGGGAUGACGUCAAAUCAGCACGGCCCUUACGUCCGGGGCUACACACGUGUUACAAUGGCAGGUACAGAGAGAC